AAGCAGCUUACCAGAGAUACUUCUGGAGAAGAGUUCAGAGUUCAGGAGAGUCCGUCUCUGAAGUUUGUGAACUAAACCCGUUAUAAUAUAAUCAGUGUGCAGACAGACAGACAGAAGGAGACAUGUCAGGCAGCAGGUUGAUGAGAGCCAUCAGAGUCAGUGAGUUCGGAGCUCCGUCGGUGCUCAGACUGAGAUCCGAUGUGAAGGUUCCUCAACCCGGACACUCUCAGGUGUUGAUUCGUGUCCAUGCCUGUGGAGUGAAUCCUGUGGAAACUUACAUCCGGGCUGGGACGUACGCCCGUAAGCCUUCCCUGCCAUACACACCGGGCUCAGACGUAGCCGGCGUGGUGGAAACUGUUGGGGAAGGAGUCACAGCAGUAAAGGCAGGAGACCGUGUGUUCACCACGGCCACAGAGUCGGGAGGUUACGCAGAGUUCACCGUAGCAGCUGACCAGUGUGUCCACAAGCUGCCCGACGCCUUAGACUUCACCCAGGGCGCCGCCAUCGGGAUCCCUUACUUCACCGCCUACAGAGCUCUGGUUCACAAAGCCCACGCCAAAGCUGGAGAGACCGUCCUCAUCCAUGGAGCCAGCGGAGGGGUUGGUGUGGCGGCGUGCCAGUUGUCUCGUGCUCUGGGUCUCAAGGUGCUGGGGACAGCGGGGACAGCAGAGGGAAUGAAGCUGGUACUCAACAACGGAGCUCACCUGGCCUUUAAUCACAGAGAAGACGGCUACACAGACAAAAUCAUGGAAGCCACAGAGGGCAGAGGCAUCGAUGUGAUAGUAGAGAUGCUGUCUAACAUCAACCUGAGUAAAGACCUCCAGAUGUUGACCUUUGGAGGACGUGUUACGAUCAUCGGCUGCAGAGGCUCUGUAGAGAUCAACCCCAGAGACACCAUGGCUAAAGAGAGCAGCAUCAUGGGAGUGGCCCUUUUCUUUGCUACACCGGAGGAGACCAAGGAGUGUGCAGCGCUGCUCUACGCUGGGAUGGAAGCCGGUUGGCUGCGUCCGGUCGUCGGUUCCCAGUAUGCGCUGGACAAGGCCGCCCAGGCCCACCAUGACAUCAUCGAGUGUCCCGGGGCGGCUGGGAAGACGGUCCUGACCAUGUGAGGAUGUGAUCAUAUCACAGGUCAAAGGUCACCAAGUAGGAGUUGGCUGUCCAGUCCAUAAAGGGGAGAAAACUUUGCUUAACGCGGCUACAAUAAGCUUCACAUAAUUACUGAAAAUCAACUUUGAUAUUUGAAGGAUGUUACUAUAAUGUGCUGAUUUAUCAUCACUGCCAAUAUGGGUACAAGAAUAUACAAAGGAUAUAAUGUUUACCUUAUAACUGAUGAUUACACAAGACUCAUGAACUAUAGCCAAAGAUCGUAUAGUUUAUUGCCAAGAAGUGAAAGUCAAUCGUUCGUUCCAUUGCAACGUCAGUGGCAAAGCUACGCUUCCACCAUUUUGGCAUACUCGCCAGCACUCCCGAUUUUCCCGGGAGACUCGUUUUUCCUCCCGGGGUCACAAUUCUUCCGUAUUUCUCCAGAUUUUUGACAAUUAUUUUUCCUUUUCAUUAUAUCAGCGUGUUUCUGGAACUGAACAGCGUGUAUAAUCCCUACUGUUUCCACCCGGACGACAGUAGAGCUACACCAACUGUUGUUUCCCGGCAGAGGAGAGCAGUCUAUGCUCCCGACACAGCGCAGUUUGAGCUCAUGUUUAAGCUGCGCUCGCCAAAGCGUGCAGCGCCCAAAGUCAGGCUUUGCUCGAUUUGGCAAAAAGCCGUCGUGGCGCAACACUAGCCGUUAGAAAUAACGGGUUUCAGAGCGCAAGAUUAACACGCCAAGUUCACGUCAGAGGGGCGAAUUAUUCAGUUUUCUUUCCUGGGAGUUAAAGGUAAAAUCAAAUGUUUAACAUAAAAAUGCUGUUGCAGUUUACUUAUUCUUUCUUCUAAUUGUGUUCAUGCUACAUGAUAGAUUAUUACGACACAUAUGUUGUAAUUCAGCUUCCUCAAAAAUAGCAUGAAGUUCUGUGAAAACAUUCUUAUUGAUCCUGUAUUCUGACAUAUUAACCAAACGAUUCCAGUCUUAUCAUUUCACACGUACCUACAGUAUUAAAUAAAUUGUGAAUGAAAAUAAUAAAUAUAUACAUUUUAAAAAAGA